AAGUCAAUGUCUAGUAAUAAGUCUAAUUAAAAAUGCAUUAGAUUUGUAUAGAAAUAUGUAUAAAACCUUACUGUGGAAUAUAAAUAAGGAUCUGUAGAUUCAGUGUGCUCAUAUACUGGAAAACCUGUUCUUACAAAGGUGAAAAUCUCAAAAAUUAAUUGGCAAAUUCAGUGUGUUUGAAAUAAAAUUCCCCACCAUGUUUGAGGAGCUUAAAGAUGAGCUUUAAAAUGUUGUGUAAAAAUAAACAGUCAUGAAGGUACAAGAAAAUUAGGAAGAAUGUGAAGAAUAAAAGAGGACAUGUCUUUCUAUAUUUAAGCAUUCCUUUUGGUAUUAAUGCAGCAAGAGAAGCAUAUGUCAAUGGAACAGAAUUAAUAACCUAGAAAGAGAAAUU
rnacentral:lncRNA from 1 species